rnacentral:snRNA from 1 species
GUGCUCACUUUGGUGGCACAUACAAUAAAAUUGGAAAGAUACAGAGAUUAGCAUGACCCCCUGCACAAAAGAUGACACACGCAUUCAUGAAACUGUCCAUAAAAAA